rnacentral:rRNA from 1 species
AGUGAACGCUGGCGGUAGGCCUAACACAUGCAAGUCGAACGGCAGCACAGUAAGAGCUUGCUCUUACGGGUGGCGAGUGGCGGACGGGUGAGGAAUACAUCGGAAUCUACUUUUUCGUGGGGGAUAACGUAGGGAAACUUACGCUAAUACCGCAUACGACCUACGGGUGAAAGCAGGGGAUCUUCGGACCUUGCGCGAUUGAAUGAGCCGAUGUCGGAUUAGCUAGUUGGCGGGGUAAAGGCCCACCAAGGCGACGAUCCGUAGCUGGUCUGAGAAGAUGAUCAGCCACACUGGAACUGAGACACGGUCCAGACUCCUACGGGAGGCAGCAGUGGGGUAUAUUGGACAAGGGGCGCAAGCCUGAUCCAGCCAUACCGCGUGGGUGAAGAAGGCCUUCGGGUUGUAAAGCCCUUUUGUUGGGAAAGAAAAGCAGCAGGUUAAUACCCCGCUGUUCUGACGGUACCCAAAGAAUAAGCACCGGCUAACUUCGU